AACGUAGGUGACGAGCGUUAUCCGGAUUUACUGGGCGUAAAGCGCGUGCAGGCGGCUUGGCAAGUCGGGCAUGAAAUCUCCUGGCUCAACUGGGAGACGCUGUCCGAUACUGUUAGGCUUGAGGGCAGUAGAGGGUGGUGGAAUUCCGCAUGUAGUGGUGAAAUGCGUAGAUAUGCGGAGGAACACCAGUGGCGAAGGCGGCCACCUGGACUGCUCCUGACGCUGAAGCGCGAAAGCUAGGGGAGCAAACGGG
rnacentral:rRNA from 1 species